UGAAUGUCUCCCGUGAAGAUCCACUAUAACU
rnacentral:piRNA from 1 species